UCCCGGUGCGGAGCCGCGUGCAGCAUCUUCCCGCGAGGCAGAGGAGGAGGAUCGCUUUUCCAGUCUCCGGGGUGCCGAGCCGGGCCGUGGCGGCCGUUCCUCGGUGCCGGCGGAGGCCGGCUGCGAUCCGCGCGGCGAUCCGGUCGGAGGUGGCUAGUGACAUCGCGAAGAAGGCUCCCUCGAGGAAGGAGUCGCCACGGAGAUUGACGGUAUGUUCUUUAUCCUCCUCUUUGGGUUUUCUCUUGGAAGGAUCCUCUAAGGAAGAUGAUGGAAUCCCGUGGAUGGACGAAAAAUUUUAGGAGCAAUUUCUCUAUUUUCAAAAAAAUAAGUAGAUAAAUGGAAUUUUGUCCAAAUUCUUCUGGAGAUAAAUAUUCCGGGAAAUUUUUGGGGCAAUAUAUUGCGUCUUAAGUUCUUGGGGGAGAAGCUGCAAUAAUUGGGAACAAACUUUGAUUUGCUUGUUUCUUUUGACCGAUUUGCGGCUUCGCAAGAAGAGGCAACUCACAAUCGAGCUUUCCCUCUGUAGGCCGAUAGCCCUCAGUUAUUCGUGGGGCUUCCUCUAGAUGCGGUGUCCGACUGCAACACCGUGAACCACGCAAAGGCGAUCGCAGCCGGACUGAAGGCCCUCAAGCUUCUAGGCGUCGACGGCGUGGAACUACCGAUAUGGUGGGGCGUCGUGGAGAAGGAGGCCAUGGGGAAGUACGACUGGUCAGGCUACAUGGCCCUUGCCCAGACGAUCCGCGAUGCCGGCCUCCAGAUCCGCGCCUCCCUCUACUUCCACGCCUCCACCGAACCCGCUAUGCCUCUCCCGCAGUGGGUGUCCAAGAUCGGCGAAGCCAACCCGGACAUCUUCUUCACCGAUAGGGCCGGCAAGCGCCACAAGAACUGCCUCUCGCUGGCGGUCGAUGAGCUUCCCGUGCUGGAGGGUAAGACCCCGGUGGAGGUCUACGCGGGCGUCCUUCAGAGCUUCAGAGCCACCUUCUCAGAUUUCCUCGGUUCCACCAUCAAGGUAACUUGAACUUCAGCACUUUUUUCUCCCUCUCCGUUUCCUCGCCCAUCUGGUGAAAACGCCAUCUAAGAUUUGAGGAUUUUCCAUCCACCUGCAGGACGUUCUUGUUGGCCUCGGUCCAGAUGGUGAGCUGAAGUACCCGUCGCAGCAGCCGGCGCCGAGGAACAAGCAAGUCGCCGGAGUGGGGGAGUUCCAGUGCUACGACAGAAACAUGCUGAAUCGUCUCAAGGAGCACGCAGAGGCCACCGGGAACCAUUUCUGGGGUCUCUCCGGCCCCCACGACGCCCCCCAGUACAACGCGUCUCCCGAGUCCACCAAUUUCUUCAAGGAGCACGGAGGCUCGUGGGACACCCCCUACGGGAACUUCUUCCUCUCCUGGUAUUCCAGCCAGCUCGUCGCCCACGGCGACCGCCUCCUCUCCGCCGCCUCCACAGCCUUCGGGGAUCUCCCCGUGACCGUCUACGGCAAGGUCCCGGUGAUGCACGCCUGGUACAAGCACCGGUCCCACCCCUCCGAGCUCACCGCCGGCUACCACAACACGGCCAACUCCGACGGCUACGAGGCCAUCGCGGAGAUGUUCGCGAGGCACUCAUGCGGCAUGAUCCUCCCCGCCAUGGAC
rnacentral:lncRNA from 1 species